UGAGGGAUGAUUAGCUUUACCUGGAGUUAAAAGGUGUGGCUCAAUUAAGGCUGCUCUCUGCCCUGUUCUGAGAGAGAAAGGAAAGCCACUACGGCUGUUUUUGGAAAUUUCAGUUAAACUGCAUGUAACCAAAUGUUAUUUCGCAUAAGGAUUAUUGCUGGACAUUUAAGAUUUUUUCACAUGGAGGCAAGUUCCCUGGUAUCAAGGACUGGCUACAAGCUGCUGCCCUAAAGUGCUUGGGAUUGAGCUGCACCUGCUUCAGAACGAAACAACAGGGAAACUCCAAAAGGACUGAUCAGGAGCAGCCAAAAGUAAUCAAUUGCAGGAAACACAAAUGAGUUCAGGAAGAAUUGAGGAACAAUACAAGCAU